UGGGGAAUUUUGCACAAUGGGGGGAACCUUGAUGCAGCGACGCCGCGUGAGGGAUGGAGGCCUUCGGGUUGUGAACCUCUUUCGCUCGUGUGCAAGCCGCUAUUUGGGUAGUGGUGAGUGUAGCGGGUAAAGAAGCGCCGGCUAACUACGUGCCAGCAGCCGCGGUAAUACGUAGGGCGCGAGCGUUGUCCGGAUUUAUUGGGCGUAAAGGGCUUGUAGGUGGUUUGUCGCGCCUGUCGUGUAAUCCUCUGGCUUAACUGGGGGUGUGCGGUGGGUACGGGCAGGCUUGAGUGCGGUAGGGGAGAUUGGAAUUCCUGGUGUAGCGGUGGAAUGCGCAGAUAUCAGGAGGAACACCGGUGGCGAAGGCGGGUCUCUGGGCCGUUACUGACGCUGAGGAGCGAAAGCGUGGGGAGCGAACAGG
rnacentral:rRNA from 1 species